GCCAGAGUGGUAUAGUGGUUUGAGUGUUGGACUAUGUCUCUAGAGACCAGGGUUCAAAUCCCUGUUCAAAGA
rnacentral:tRNA from 1 species